rnacentral:rRNA from 1 species
UACGAAGGGGGCUAGCGUUGUUCGGAAUUACUGGGCGUAAAGCGCACGUAGGCGGGUUGUUAAGUCAGGGGUGAAAUCCUGGAGCUCAACUUCGGAACUGCCUUUGAUACAGCACGUCUUGAGUCCGAUAGAGGUGGGUGGAAUUCCUAGUGUAGAGGUGAAAUUCGUAGAUAUUAGGAAGAACACCGGUGGCGAAGGCGGCCCACUGGAUCGGUACUGACGCUGAGGUGCGAAAGCGUGGGGAGCAAACAGG